AGAGUUUGAUCAUGGCUCAGGAUGAACGCUAGCUACAGGCUUAACACAUGCAAGUCGAGGGGAAACGACAUCGAAAGCUUGCUUUUGAUGGGCGUCGACCGGCGCACGGGUGAGUAACGCGUAUCCAACCUGCCCACCACUUGGGGAUAACCUUGCGAAAGUAAGACUAAUACCCAAUGACGUCUCUAGAAGACAUCUGAAAGAGAUUAAAGAUUUAUCGGUGAUGGAUGGGGAUGCGUCUGAUUAGCUUGUUGGCGGGGUAGCGGCCGCCAAGGCUAACGAUCAGUAGGGGUUCUGAGAGGAAGGUCCCCCANAUUGGAACUGAGACACGGUCCAAACUCCUACGGGAGGCA
rnacentral:rRNA from 1 species